GGGGCAGUAGCUCAGUGGUAGAGCUCCCGCUUCGCAUGCGGGGAGACCUGGCUCGAUUCCCGGCUGCUUAC
rnacentral:tRNA from 1 species